GUGGUGGGAAGCUCAUCAGUGGAGCUACAAGCUGAGUGCACGAUGUCACUCCGUCCCAUGUCCCUUGGGAAGGUCUGAGACUAGGGCCAUAAAGCAGACCUAACAGGUCUCUCCCUGACUUUAGGGGAGGUGAGCGGGUCUCCAAGCAAGGGCAGACAGGGCAGGAGAUGCCGAGGACCCACGCCCGUCCGAGGGUUAGGGCCCGCUGGAUGCCUCCCUAGCUGGAGCUUGGAACAGACUCACGGCCAGCCUUCAUGAGUUCAAAGAAGACAACCAUUGCUUGCCUCCUCUCCAUCUCCCUCCCAC
ensembl:ribozyme RNaseP_nuc Nuclear RNase P